rnacentral:lncRNA from 1 species
CGAAUUACGAAGGCUUAGUACGGAUCUAAAAGAAUGAUAUUUUUUCUUGUUCAAUUCAAACUAGUGGUUGGUUAAUGAGACUCCUAGCUUAAUUUAGAUUGAAAACAAAACGGAUUUCUAUAUUAUAGUUAUAAUAAUAGUAAUGGUUUCAAAGUAGAUACAUGAUAUCCAAAAUCGAUAGGUUUAAACUACUCGUUCGACUGAUAAAGAAUUUAUAGUGGUCCAAUAAAAUAAAAGCAUCUACGUCAAUUCAUACCUAUUAAAACUACUUGUUCGACGAAUAAAGAAUUGAUAGUGGUCCAAUAAAAUAAAAGCAUUUACGUCAAUUUAUACCCAUUACAAUUUCAUUCAAUUAACAGUUAAGAAGUAUCAUAAAAA